UCCGCAAUGGGCGAAAGCCUGACGGAGCAAUACCGCGUGAGGGAGGAAGGCUCUUGGGUCGUAGACCUCUUUUCUCAGGGAAGAAAAAAAUGACGGUACCUGAGGAAUAAGCAUCGGCUAACUCCGUGCCAGCAGCCGCGGUAAUACGGAGGAUGCAAGCGUUAUCCGGAAUGAUUGGGCGUAAAGCGUCCGCAGGUGGCUAUGUAAGUCUGCUGUUAAACGAGUCUAGCUCAACUAGAUAAAAGCAGUGGAAACUACAUGGCUAGAGUGCGUUCGGGGGCAGAGGGAAUUCCUGUGUGUAGCGUGUGAAAUGCGUAGAGAUCAGGAAGAACACCGGUGGCGAAAGUGCUCUGCUAGGCCGCAACUGACACUGAGGGACGAAAGCUAGGGGAGCGAAUGGGAUUAGAUACCCC
rnacentral:rRNA from 1 species